UGCACAGAGAGGAGUCUGUUCUGCUUUCAGUCUAGUUCCAGCAGGAGGCCCGACUGGAAUGAACAGAGAGUUGGAGAGCAAAUGAGUUUGUUGGGGCCAUUGUGGAAGAGAAACCAGGAAGCAAAGCAGUUGAAGUGCAGUCAUUAAGAAGGACCUGGCUCCCAAGAGAAUGAUGGCAUCACCAGGAAAUGACAUCUGGAAAUAUCCUACUGGAGAAAUUGAUGGGACAAACGUUUAUAAGACCCACUUACCCAGUUUUUUCUGUUUGCGCAUUGAUCCACUUUUCUACCCCAUUCAAAUCCAGUGCAAAGGUGGAAAUUUAAUAUCAGUUUUAUAUAAAGAUUAAAAAAACUCAUCAACAUUGAAUGAAUUUUUGAAGUCUGAACCUUCCACAGUUAAAUUAUGGAAAAAUUAAAAGUAGCUAACAAAAUUCCUAA